GUAGGUUCUAAGAGAGCGGAGUCUUCUGUGUCUACCUUGUUCACGAUGUCCUCUAGAGCCUAAAAUAGAGCCUGGCACAUACAUCUCCGAAGAGCUGUUGCCAUUCUCCAACAUCUUGCUGAGUCCUCGGCUCCCCAUGUUCUGACAUCACAUCCAGUGGCAUCUGUCACCUCUCAGUUCCGCAGCUUUAUUCGUUUUGAGGAAGCUAAAGGUGACAAAGAACCUUCAUUGUGAAAGCCUCAAUGUCACAG